AUUGAACGCUGGCGGCAGGCUUAACACAUGCAAGUCGAGCGAGCGGCGGACGGGUGAGUAAUGUCUGGGAAACUGCCUGAUGGAGGGGGAUAACUACUGGAAACGGUAGCUAAUACCGCAUACCAUCAGAUGUGCCCAGAUGGGAUUAGCUAGUAGGUGGGGUAAUGGCUCACCUAGGCGACGAUCCCUAGCUGGUCUGAGAGGAUGACCCGCCCCACGGUGACUGAGACACGGUCCCGACUCCUACGGGAGGCAGGAGUGGGGAAUAUUGCACAAAGGGCGCAAGCCGGAUGCAGCCAGGCCGCGUGUGUGAAGAAGGCCUUCGGGUUUGAAAACACUUUCAGCGAGGAGGCGUUACUCGCAGGAGAAGCACCGGCUAACUCCGUGCCAGCAGCCGCGGGAAUAC
rnacentral:rRNA from 1 species